UAAGCGGGACGCACCAACGGCCACCAGUCUGUGCUUGGCCGCCGUCGAGGACACGCUGUGACCGGAGAGUGAGGAUGAAGGUAUUUGUGGGGAGUGUUGUGCAUGCCACCAAGGAGGAGCCUAUGGUCAUUCUCCCACACACGGCUCUCGGCGUCCGUGACAGUAAGAUACAGUUCGUGGAAUCAUCUAAUAAUCUAGAGCAGCUCAAGGUUGACUAUGGCUUCACGGAUGCAUGCAUCACCUACCUUAACUCCAGCCAGUUUUUGAUGCCAGGGUUGGUGGACACCCACAUCCAUGCACCUCAAUUUGUUAACAAUGGGGUGAAGCUGGACCUACCACUUCUGGACUGGCUCAAGAUGUACACCUUCCCCACGGAAGCCAUGUUCUCUGAUGUCAAGGUCGCUCAUGACUUUUAUCCCAGAGUUGUGGAGCGGCUGCUAAGGAACGGGACCACCACCGCCUCGUACUAUGCUACCCUGCACCUCGAGGCCUCCAAGGUCCUGGCUCAGGUGGUGAAGGCCAGGGGUCAGCGGGCCCUCAUUGGUAAAGUCAACAUGACGGUCAACGCUCCCGAGUACUACUGCGAGUCCAGUCUUCAGCAAUCGCUUUCUGAUACCGAGGAUUUUAUUUGCUACAUUAAACAAAUGCAGACACCAUUGAUUCAGCCCAUCAUAACCCCAAGAUUUGCUAUUACCUGCCCCUUAGAUCACUUGAAGGAACUGGGUAAACUGGCUAGCAAAUAUAACUGUCACAUACAGAGUCAUCUGUGUGAGUCACACCCGGAAAUUGCUUUUGUUCGAGAGCUCUUUCCUGAGUCAAAGUCUUACACUGAUGUUUAUGACACCUCAGGACUUCUUGGUGCAAAGACCAUCAUGGCACACUGUAUCUGGAUGGAAGAACAUGAAAUGGACCGGCUGAAAGAAUGUGAUGUUGGAGUCUCUCACUGCCCCAAUUCUAAUACAUCCUUACUCUCCGGGCACUGUAAUGUCAGACAGCUUCUUCACCGAGGAAUUAAGGUUGGACUUGGGACAGAUUGUUCUGGUGGAUAUAGCUCAUCUGUGUUGGAUGCCCUUCGACGGGCACUGGAUGUGUCCAAGAGCUUGGCUAUACAAAAACCUGACUACCGCUUCCUCACCCUACCAGAGGUCUUCCGUUUAGCAACACUAGGAGGUGCUCAAGUAGUAAACAUGGACGAUUACAUUGGUAACUUUGAAGUUGGGAAAGAGUUUGAUUCCCUUGUGAUUGACCUGGAAUUUCCCAGAUCACCUUUGGACAUCUUUCCCAAGGACACACUAGAAGAUAAGAUCCAUAAAUUCUUAUACAAUGGUGAUGACCGCAACAUUGUGCAGGUGUAUGUGGCUGGCAGGUGUGUCAUCAACAACCUCACCUGUGUAUGAAGUAUCCUCGAUAUCAACAUGUGAGCUGGCCAUUGAUGGUCUGUAUUGUUGAUGUUAGAACCCCUCAAGCUUUGCACACAUGGCCCAUGCAGGUCAACACCACAACACUUGCCUCUGCACACAAAGAUGUCUGUGCAAGCCCAAGUGGUUGGACUCUCAGAAAAGACAUCCCUUAUUAGAACAACAAGAUGUCGAUAUUAGAGAAACUUACAACUAUCGCCAGGGAAGACUCCGACACCUCAUAGAGCAUCCAGUAAGGAGAAGACCCAAACUCAAAAGAUGCUGGAUCCAUCAUAGAGGUAAACACCAGGUCUCGCAGGAGGUACUUAAAGAGAUCCUCUCAAGCCACUGACGGAGGGACUUGAGAAGACGGAAACCUACAGAAACCUCUGGAAGGAUGGUCCCGACAGGACUAACAGCACAUAAAAGUGAACCCUGGUGGGAUCUGCACUUAAAUAAAACUCAUUCAGUUAGAAGGGUACAAGAACCCCUACCCCUUGUAACAAGAAGCCCUCAUCAGAAGGGACAAAGAACUACUUGAAAUCCAAGGGAACCCAAGUGCUCGGCUUCCCCCAAGCCCCAGAAGCCAAAGGUGAAGGCAAAGACUCCGUGGCAGAGCAGGUGUCCUUGCCCACUGCCCGAGGUAGAAAAGUGGAGGCAAGGGGCUUCAGGAGGGGAUAGCUGGAAAGAAGCCCAAUGGGAGAAAACCCAGAGUGGCUGCUGGGCAGUCGUGGUGUAGAUGUAGCUAGCUGCUUCUGUGCUGUCGAGUAGGGCUGUUUGCUGGCUGUUUACCUCUGCACCCUGCAAGUAGUUGUUUGAUGGGUCAGGGGUAAGUGUUGAAGUAUGUCUUGGAAGUUUUUUCUUACCAAGUUUGGGCUGUAUAUCGCAUCAUUUAUUGCUAGGAAAUGAGGUAUUUGGGUGCUUUGGUGGGGGUGAUGGGGCCUAAGGCUGCUGUCCAUGUUGUUGGCUCUUCCACAGACGCUGCAGGUUAUGCCAGUUUUGCAGCCAAUGACGAGCGUCUCUCAAUUGUGGGUUGGACCUCAGUUGGGAUGGAUGUUGGCACUAAUUAAAUGUAAGCAUCCACAGAAAGGUAAGUGAUGCUGCAUGUCUCAAAUGGGUUAUAAAACUUUUAAAAACAAUAAUGAACUCUUGGCUGCCAAAUCAGUGUUGAAGAGGUGUGUUUAUGUCUGGCAAGCUGGGAGAUUCAGUGAUCUUGGUGAGAAAUGUGACUUGUCCAAGAGGAUGAAUGAAGAACAACACAUUGAUGGACAUUUAUGAAGCUGUUCAUUACCUGAACACCAUAAAUAAACUUGACAGACUUGUAAUGUAUUUGGACAAGUUAUAAUAGCAUGUUGCUUAUGAGUGACCAAUUUAAUGCUCUGGAAAAGGCUGGUUGUGACUGAUAUGACUUAAUGUUGUGCUGACUAAAUUCGUGAUGCUUCAAGAUAAUGUGAAUCCCUUGCAAGCUGUUUCCUUGCAUCUCACUCUCAGCACCUCCCAAGAACACACCUAAACUGGGAGAAGGCCACUAUUGCUGACCUGGAUAAGUUUAAUGGAAAAGUAAAAAAUAUGCAAAUUGCAACCAGUUCAAUUGCCUGUACUAUUUAGUGUAGUUUGCAUCAGAAGUCUUGAUGACAUAUUUACAUCAGUGCUAGUUAGGGUAGGGAUGAUAGCAUCCUUAAAACAAAUAGAAGAAAAGGUAUAUUUGGUUAGAAUAAUCUUGUUAAGGAAUUUCAAAAUAGAUUUGCAUUUUGGCAUAGCCUAUGGAAACAUGAAGGGUUCCCCCCAGAGAUGGGUGGCUACCCCAGAUCAGAUGUAGCACUAGGGCUUGAUGUCAUCAAACCAUAAAGAGGAUCAAGAAAGAGAGAGAUAAUAUUGUGAGAUUAAAGGUUGCUGAUAACCUUUUACCUCACAAUGAGGAAUUCAAUGAGCUUGUGCUUGUUUUGAGAGAUUCAGAUGAUUGUUUACAUUGUUGAGGUUACAAUGGGGUAGCUUCAUUUGGCAGUGUUGAGACUUUGGUCUCUGAAUUUGGCAGUCGUCUGUAUUGGUUCAGACUUUCUGGGUGCUUUCUUGGUGAGGUGGCAGAGUUCUCUGCAUCUGUGUGAGGGGCCCCAGGAUCUGGCUCUUGUCUCUGGCAGGCCAUACACAAUGCCAUGGGUGAUGUGAGGUAGUAGUCGAGUCAUUUCAACUUUAGGGAGCCACAAGGAGGGAGCUUCAGAAACAGUAAUACUGUACUGGUAUCACUCUACAAAUGUUUCCAUAUUACAAAUCACUUCACUUUGUAAAAAAUCACUUUGUAACAUGUUCCCAUGUUACAAGUCACUCUACAAAUGUUCCAAUAAAUGUAUUGAAAUUAA
rnacentral:misc_RNA from 1 species